rnacentral:rRNA from 1 species
AUUGAACGCUGGCGGCAUGCCCUACACAUGCAAGUCGAACGGCAGCACGGGAGCAAUCCUGGUGGCGAGUGGCGAACGGGUGAGUAAAGUAUCGGAACGUGCCCAGUCGUGGGGGAUAACGUAGCGAAAGUUACGCUAAUACCGCAUACGAUCUAUGGAUGAAAGCGGGGGAUCGCAAGACCUCGCGCGAUUGGAGCGGCCGAUAUCAGAUUAGGUAGUUGGUGGGGUAAAGGCUCACCAAGCCGACGAUAUGUAUCUGGUCUGAGAGGACGACCAGCAACACUGGGACUGAGACACGGCCCAGACUCCUACGGGAGGCAGCAGUGGGAAUUUUGGACAAUGGGCGAAAGCCUGAUCCAGCCAUGCCGCGUGCAGGAUGAAGGCCUUCGGGUUGUAAACUGCUUUUGUACGGAACGAAAAGGUUUGGCCUAAUAAGCUGAGCUCAUGACGGUACCGUAAGAAUAAGCACCGGCUAACUACGUGCCAGCAGCCGCCGCCG